CAAAAUUAUUCAUUACUUGGUAGGUUUAUUCUUAGAAAUGAGACAUAACAUUGAUGAAUUCGUUUAAAACAGAAAGUUGAAACGGUUAAUAGUAUGAUUAGGCUAUUCAUCACUGUACCAGGUUUUGCAUUAUAUAGCAUGCUUUAGGUUGCAUAUAAAGCUUCACGUUAUAACACCUGACUCCUGCCUCACUCAGGAUUGAACGACACCUCAAAACCAAAUC